GAUUGAGAGAAAGUUCCAUUAAAACAAGGAUUGAAAC
rfam:Nitrospirae bacterium CG2_30_41_42 cg2_3.0_scaffold_2005_c, whole genome shotgun sequence.